GAGUCUUGACAUCGAGUGACGUCUGUAGAGAUACAGAUUUCCCUUCGGGGACACGAAGACAGGUGGUGCAUGGUUGUCGUCAGCUCGUGUCGUGAGAUGUUGGGUUAAGUCCCGCAACGAGCGCAACCCUUAUGAUUAGUUGCUACGCAAGAGCACUCUAAUCAGACUGCCGUUGACAAAACGGAGGAAGGUGGGGAUGACGUCAAAUCAUCAUGCCCUUUAUGACUCGGGCCUCACACGUACUACAAUGGCGUUUAACAAAGAGAAGCAAUACCGCGAGGAGGAGCAAAUCUCCAAAAAACGUCUCAGUUCAGAUUGCAGGCUGCAACUCGCCUGCAUGAAGUCGGAAUUGCUAGUAAUCGUAGAUCAGCAUGCUACGGUGAAUACGUUCCCGGGCC
rnacentral:rRNA from 1 species